AGAGUUUGAUCCUGGCUCAGAACGAACGCUGGCGGCGUGGAUAAGACAUGCAAGUCGAACGGGACUUUUUCUGGUAGCAAUACCGGGAAAAGUUUAGUGGCGAACGGGUGCGUAACACGUGGGCAAUCUGCCGAGAAGUGGGGGAUAGCUCGCCGAAAGGCGAAUUAAUACCGCAUACGAUCAGGGACGACAUCUUCCCAACAUCAAAGCCGGGGCAACCUGGCGCUUCUUGAUGAGCCCGCGGCCUAUCAGCUAGUUGGUGAGGUAACGGCCCACCAAGGCGAUGACGGGUAGCUGGUCUGAGAGGACGACCAGUCACACUGGAACUGAGACACGGUCCAGACACCUACGGGUGGCAGCAGUCGAGAAUUUUUCUCAAUGGGGGCAACCCUGAAGGAGCGACGCCGCGUGGAGGAUGAAGGCUUUCGGGUUGUAAACUCCUGUCAUUUGAGAACAAGGGUGAGCAAGUAACUACUGCUCACUUGAUAGUAUCAGAAGAGGAAGAGACGGCUAACUCUGUGCCAGCAGCCGCGGUAAUACAGAGGUCUCGAGCGUUGUUCGGAUUCAUUGGGCGUAAAGGGUGCGUAGGUGGCGUGGUAAGUCGGGUGUGAAAUCCCGGGGCUCAACCCCGGGACUGCAUUCGAUACUGCUGUGCUUGAGGACUGGAGAGGAGACUGGAAUUUACGGUGUAGCAGUGAAAUGCGUAGAGAUCGUAAGGAAGACCAGUGGCGAAGGCGGGUCUCUGGACAGUUCCUGACACUGAGGCACGAAGGCCAGGGGAGCAAACGGGAUUAGAUACCCUAGUAGUCC
rnacentral:rRNA from 1 species